ACUUUACAAUGCGGGAAACCGCGAUAAGGGGACACUGAGUGCCAGCAUAUUAUGUUGGCUGUCCACAUGUAUAAAAAUCAUGUGUUAGCAAGGGCCGGGCAAGACCGGUGCCAGCCGCCGCGGUAACACCGGCGGCCCGAGUGGUGAUCACUUUUAUUGGGUCUAAAGGGUCCGUAGCCGGUUUAAUCAGUCUUCUGGGAAAUCUGACAGCUCAACUGUUAGGCUUUCAGGGGAUACUGUUAGACUUGGGACCGGGAGAGGUAAGAGGUACUACAGGGGUAGGAGUGAAAUCUUGUAAUCCCUGUGGGACCACCAGUGGCGAAGGCGUCUUACCAGAACGGGUCCGACGGUGAGGGACGAAAGCUGGGGGCACGAACC
rnacentral:rRNA from 1 species